GUUCAAUAUUUAUCAGAUGGAUGGGCCGGUGCAAAGUGGGGCUGGGCAAGCACUUUUUUUGUGGAAAUAUUUGGAUGGGCAAAAACUUUUUUUUAAAUAUUUAGUGGAUGGACCAGAACAUAUUUUAUAGGAAAAAAUUUGCUAUCUAUUUUAUUGGUUUGUAGGAUAUUUCUUUUGCGGGCACUCAAAACAUGUCUCAACAAACUGGUAGCUUGGCUCAUUUCUGUCAAUUUUAAGGAUUUAAUUAAGGAACUAGAGGCUCUCAAGAGCCUGUGUCGCUCACCUUGGUCUAUGUGCAUAUUAAACAAUGGACACAGAUAAAUUCAUGACAUAAUUGUGUUUUGGUGAUGGUGAUGUGUUUGUAGAUCUUACUUUACUGAACAUUCUUGUUGCUACAAUUAUCUCUAUCUAUAAUGAACUUGGCCCAGUAAUUACAGUGGAAAAUAUUUUCUAAAAAUUUACAAAAAUUUACAAAAAUUUAUGAAAAAUGCUAAAAAUUAACUAUAAAGGGCAAUAACUCCUUAAGGGGUCAAUUGACAAUUUUGGUCAUUUGACUUAUUUGUAGAUCUUACUUUGCUGAACAUUAUUGCUGUUUACAGUUUAUCUCUAUCUAUUAUAAUAUUCAAGAUAAUAACCCAAAAACUGCAAAAUUUCCUUAAAAUUACUAAUUCUGGGGCAGCAACCCAACAACAGGGUGUCUGUUUUGUCUGAAAAUAUCAGGGCAGAUAGAGCUUGACCUGAUAGACUAUUUAACCCUGUCAGAUUUUCUCUAAAUGCUUCGGUUUUUGAGUUAUAAGCCAAAAACUGCAUUUUACCCCUAUGUUCUAUUUUUAGCCGUGGCAGCCAUUUUGGUUGGAUGGCCGGGUCACCAGACACAUUUUUUUCAAUUAGAUACCCCAAAGAUGAUUGUGGCCAAGUUUGGAUUAAUUUGGCCCAGUAGUUUCAUAGAAGAUUUUUGUAAAAGAUUUCUAAGAUUUACGAAAAAUGGUUAAAAACUGACUAUAAAGGUCAAUAACUCCUAAAGGGGUCAACUGACCAUUUUGGUCAUGUUGACUUAUUUGUAAAUCUAACUUUGCUGAACAUUAUUGCUGUUUACAGUUUAUCUCUAUCUAUAAUAAUAUUCAAG
rnacentral:lncRNA from 1 species